rnacentral:rRNA from 1 species
UACCUAACACAUGCAAGUCGAACGAGGAGCGCCGGUGUAGCAAUACAUCGGUGCUUCUAGUGGCGUACGGGUGAGUAACUCGUGAGUAACCUGCCCUCGAGACCGGGAUACCCCCUCGAAAGGGGGGCUAAUACCGGGUACGUUCCCCGGGACGCGAGUUCCGAGGAGGAAAGGUGGCGCAAGCUGCCGCUCGAGGAGGGGCUCGCGGCCUAUCAGCUAGUUGGUGGGGUAACGGCCUACCAAGGCGAUGACGGGUAGCUGGUCUGAGAGGACGACCAGCCACACGGGGACUGAGACACGGCCCCGACUCCUACGGGAGGCAGCAGUGGGGAAUUUUCCGCAAUGGGCGAAAGCCUGACGGAGUGACGCCGCGUGGGGGACGAAGGCCUUCGGGUCGUAAACCCC